UGGGGGAUAUUGCACAAUGGGCGAAAGCCUGAUGCAGCGACGCCGCGUGGGGCAUGAAGGCUUUCGGGUUGUAAACCUCUUUCGCUAUCGAACAAGGCCCGCUUAGGGUGGGUUGAGGGUAGGUGGAGAAGAAGCGCCGGCUAACUACGUGCCAGCAGCCGCGGUAAUACGUAGGGCGCGAGCGUUGUCCGGAAUUAUUGGGCGUAAAGGGCUUGUAGGCGGCUUGUUGCGCCUGCUGUGAAAACGCGGGGCUUAACUUCGCGCGUGCAGUGGGUACGGGCAGGCUUGAGUGUGGUAGGGGUGACUGGAAUUCCAGGUGUAGCGGUGGAAUGCGCAGAUAUCUGGAGGAACACCGAUGGCGAAGGCAGGUCACUGGGCCAUUACUGACGCUGAGGAGCGAAAGCAUGGGUAGCGAACAGG
rnacentral:rRNA from 1 species